AUGUCCGACACAAAUGCAACAUCGGCAUCGCAGGAAGAGAAUGUCCUUAAGAGAAAGUCAGAUGAUGUGGGAUGGGAGUACGGGAGUCUAGCUGAUGCUUCCAACAAGGAUAAAGUGAAGUGUAUGUUCUGUAACCAUGUGAGCACGGGAGGUGUUUAUCGUCACAAGCAGCAUGUGGCUCAUAUUGGUAAUGGUGUGGUCAAAUGCAAGAAAAGCUCUCAGGAAGCUAAAGCCAGGUGCAAGAAAUCUCUUGAGGAUGCAUCUAAUAAGAGGAGGGAAAAGACUGCCCGUGAGCAAGAGCUUAGACAAAGUGUGAACAUUUCUCGCGUUGGAGAUGAAGAAGCUGCACAUAUCGGAAGCACGAAGCCACACAAAUUAGGUCCUAUUGACAAGUGGGCACAGCCUAUUGAUCCUAAAUUGACUCAAGCUGAAGCCUUGCAUCAACAGAAGAUAAACAAGGAAUUUUGGAAAAAGAGAACACAUGAAGUGCAACAGUAUGUGGCUAGAUGGGUGUACAAUCAUGGUAAUUAA
rnacentral:rRNA from 1 species